rnacentral:rRNA from 1 species
ACUCCUACGGGAGGCAGCAGUGGGGAAUUUUGGACAAUGGGCGAAAGCCUGAUCCAGCAAUGCCGCGUGAGUGAAGAAGGCCUUCGGGUUGUAAAGCUCUUUUGUCAGGGAAGAAACGGUGAGGGCUAAUAUCCCUUGCUAAUGACGGUACCUGAAGAAUAAGCACCGGCUAACUACGUGCCAGCAGCCGCGGUAAUACGUAGGGUGCAAGCGUUAAUCGGAAUUAUUGGGCGUAAAGCGUGCGCAGGCGGUUUUGUAAGUCUGAUGUGAAAUCCCCGGGCUCAACCUGGGAAUUGCAUUGGAGACUGCAAGGCUAGAAUCUGGCAGAGGGGGGUAGAAUUCCACGUGUAGCAGUGAAAUGCGUAGAUAUGUGGAGGAACACCGAUGGCGAAGGCAGCCCCCUGGGUCAAGAUUGACGCUCAUGCACGAAAGCGUGGGGAGCAAACAGGAUUAGAUACCCUGGUAGUCCACGCCCUAAACGAUGUCUACUAGUUGUCGGGUCUUAAUUGACUUGGUAACGCAGCUAACGCGUGAAGUAGACCGCCUGGGGAGUACGGUCGCAAGAUUAAAACUCAAAGGAAUUGACGG